CUUAGUAGUAAGCCAUUCAUCAUCUGAAGAUGCCAUCAUAUCAGGGUUGGUUAAAAGAUAUCCGCCAGCCUUAGGAUCUGAAAAUUUAUUAUAUCAGAAAGUAUAUUCUUGGGUGCAUGUUCACAUAUUAUACCAAUCUUGGUUAAAUAUCCAAGUUGCUUGCUCCUUGUAUUGUAAUUGGACAGUGUUCUUACCGUUAGGAUGUUUGCUGGCAUGCUUCUUAUCUAAGAGAAGAUUCCUUGUUAAUCUAGCAUGCCGGAAGUCAAAUAUACUAAUCAGACCACCCAUACAACCUCCCUGAUCUUUUCUCGAUUGCAGACGACGCCUUUGUGAUCUCUUCC
rnacentral:lncRNA from 1 species